GACGAACGCUGGCGGCGUGCCUAAUACAUGCAAGUCGAACGCUUCUUUUUCCACCGGAGCUUGCUCCACCGGAAAAAGAGGAGUGGCGAACGGGUGAGUAACACGUGGGUAAUCUGCCCAUCAGAAGGGGAUAACACUUGGAAACAGGUGCUAAUACCGUAUAACAAUCGAAACCGCAUGGUUUUGAUUUGAAAGGCGCUUUCGGGUGUCGCUGAUGGAUGGACCCGCGGUGCAUUAGCUAGUUGGUGAGGUAACGGCUCACCAAGGCCACGAUGCAUAGCCGACCUGAGAGGGUGAUCGGCCACAUUGGGACUGAGACACGGCCCAAACUCCUACGGGAGGCAGCAGUAGGGAAUCUUCGGCAAUGGACGAAAGUCUGACCGAGCAACGCCGCGUGAGUGAGGAAGGUUUUCGGAUCGUAAAACUCUGUUGUUAGAGAAGAACAAGGAUGAGAGUAACUGUUCAUCCCUUGACGGCAUCUAACCAGAAAGCCACGGCUAACUACGUGCCAGCCGCCGCAGUAA
rnacentral:rRNA from 1 species